rnacentral:lncRNA from 1 species
AGCGGCCUCAGUCUCGAGAUCUGGUCUGCUCCGCUCUGCCCGCUCUCGGCUUCCGGGCUCGCAGACUCCACCGCCCGCCUCCUGCACCUACCAAGCCGGAGGACCACGCGCCAGCUGCUGCCGGCCUCCCGGCCUGCCCAUGAUCACCCUGUGCCUUUCGGCUCUGCGAGGCCUCCACAGGUACUCUAGUGGGCGGGUUAACCUUGACCGUGGGCAAGGGUGGGGUCGUCUGUCGACGACAGCCGUGGGGCCUGGUGCAGCCCUACUACACCCACCCAGGAUGCCUCUGGGACUGUUCUUUCCCUCUGCCUGCUUGAUGGACUCUGUAGGGACACCUGGUGCAGCAACCUGGGGCCACCUUUCCCUUGCCGCUUCCCCCAGGAGGCCGUCCUUUCCCCUUUGUUUGGGAUUGCUUCAGCCGCAGUCUGUGAGAAUUGUUGGGUUCACAGACCCAACCCAAAAUAAAUACGGAAGGAUAGACCGACGCGCCCUUCAGACCUGCGGACCUGAUACAGAGAGUGCCGCAGCUGUGGACUCCAGAAAGCAAGCAUUUUCGUACGCACCUCAUGCACUUGUUAGCGGUCCAGGCGUUUAAUAUACACCCGAGACCGCUUUGGUUUUCAUACUUAUUUCCGUCCUUGCUUUCUAACUUCAUUUUUAUAUCCCUCCUUCCUUAAAACAUUCGAUCUCUUAACCUGGCAAAUUGACUUGGUCCAGAAUUGUUGCUUGGACACGGUUUGAAUUGCUUCCUAGCGCUCUAACCACACCCCUCUGCAACAGACCAGUAGCAAAAUGGUGAGAGAAUUAAAUUCUUUGCACGGAUAUGCCGGGUUUUCGGGAACAAAGCCGCCACCACCUCCCAUUGCCAAAUCUGCCUUACACUGAAAUUUCAUGUGAAAGUUCAACGGGGAAAAAAGAACUUUGUGGGGUUUGUAGAUGUGCACACAACUAUUUCAACCAUCAGCAUUUCUGCUUUUCGUCAUUUUCUAUUGUGCUUUGCCACUCAUCUGCGUGGAUCACUGUGUUCCUUAGCCCUUGUGCACCCAGGGGACAAUAGUGAUUCUUCAGAGUUCACCUGAUGACUGUGACCAUUAUUUGAGCAAGGUUUGUUGUUUUCUGGUCUCCAGGCUGGAAGUGGUAAAGCUGUCAAAUGAAGUUCUUUUUUCCAUUUAAUGGAAAGCAAGAAGAGAGAAUAAAUUUCCAUUAUAACGCU